rnacentral:rRNA from 1 species
AAUAUUGGACAAUGGGCGCAAGCCUGAUCCAGCCAUGCCGCGUGAGUGAUGAAGGCCUUCGGGUUGUCCCGCUCUUUCACCGGUGAAGAUAAUGACGUUAACCGGAGAAGAAGCCCCGGCUACCUUCGUGACAGCAGCCGCGGUAAUACGAAGGGGGCUAGCGUUGUUCGGAAUUACUGGGCGUAAAGCGCACGUAGGCGGAUUAUUAAGUCGGGGGUGAAAUCCCGCAGCUCAACUGCGGAACUGCCUUUGAUACUGGUAAUCUAGAGACCGAGAGAGGUAAGUGGAACUCCUAGUGUAGAGGUGGAAUUCGUAGAUAUUAGGAAGAACACCAGUGGCGAAGGCGGCUUACUGGCUCGAAACUGACGCUGAGGUGCGAAAGCGUGGGGAGCAAAC